GACGAACGCUGGCGGCGUGCUUAACACAUGCAAGUCGAGCGGGGUCCAUCCAGUAGCAAUACUGGUGAAGACCUAGCGGCGAACGGGUGAGUAACACGUGAGCAACCUGCCCCGAAGUCUGGGAUAACACCGGGAAACCGGUGCUAAUACCGGAUGUCCUCACCGAGUCACCUGGCUUGAUGAGGAAAGAUUUAUCGCUUCGGGAGGGGCUCGCGGCCUAUCAGCUUGNGGCGGGGUAACGGCCCACCAAGGCUUCGACGGGUAGCUGGUCUGAGAGGACGACCAGCCACACUGGGACUGAGACACGGCCCAGACUCCUACGGGAGGCAGCAGUGGGGAAUCUUGCGCAAUGGGCGAAAGCCUGACGCAGCAACGCCGCGUGGGGGAUGAAUGCC
rnacentral:rRNA from 1 species